rnacentral:rRNA from 1 species
ACUCCUACGGGAGGCAGCAGUGGGGAAUAUUGGACAAUGGGCCACAAGCCUGAUCCAGCAAUUCUGUGUGCACGAUGAAGGUCUUCGGAUUGUAAAGUGCUUUCAGUUGGGAAGAAGAAAGUGACGGUACUAACAGAAGAAGCGACGGCUAAAUACGUGCCAGCAGCCGCGGUAAUACA